GACGAACGCUGGCGGCGUGCUUAACACAUGCAAGUCGAACGGAAAGGCCCUGCUUUUGUGGGGUGCUCGAGUGGCGAACGGGUGAGUAACACGUGAGUAACCUGCCCUUGACUUUGGGAUAACUUCAGGAAACUGGGGCUAAUACCGGAUAGGAGCUCCUGCUGCAUGGUGGGGGUUGGAAAGUUUCGGCGGUUGGGGAUGGACUCGCGGCUUAUCAGCUUGUUGGUGGGGUAGUGGCUUACCAAGGCUUUGACGGGUAGCCGGCCUGAGAGGGUGACCGGACGCAGUGCGACGGGGAGACGGCCCAGACGCGGGCGGGGGGAGAGGGUGGGGAGUAUAGAACACGGGGCGGAAGCCUGAGGAAGCCAGGGGGGGUGGGUGAAGGCGGCCUGGGGGCUGUAAGCAGCGUGGCCGGGUGACGGAGGGGGGGCGACGGUAAGGGGAAAGGAAGCGCCGGCUACCGAGGGGGAGGCAGCCGCGGAAAGAGAUCGAAGAGCAAACGUAUAAAC
rnacentral:rRNA from 1 species